AUGACUCGUCUCUUCUCCUCUCCUCUGGUCGGCAAACAGACGGCAACUGCCAGGAAAUGGCUGGUAGAGACGGGACAGAUAAGCGACGGUCCUCUCUCCUGUUGUGUUAAGCAGACUCCUCACCAGGACAGCUACUCCUACAGUGACUUCCCGGACACCUAUUGCGAGAGUUGUCUAACAGCAGCACGAGAGAUUGAGAAAGCCAUGAAGGAAGCCCCAGCUGACAGCAGACAGACAGUAGUCAAGAGCCUCCUCAGUGGUGGUGUGUGUGAGAAAAUGCUGUCCUACAAACAUGACCAUGUCUCAAAGGACAAAAUGACAUCUUCUUGCAUGCACUUGUUUGAAUCUAAUCAUGACCAGUUCAAUCUCGCUUUGGUAAAUAAAGAACCAAAGCAUCUGGAUAUAGUCCUGUGCUACGAGCAAUCCACAGCAUGUGUGGGGGUGAAGCGCCAGUCUUUUGAGGAUUCCAAGAAAAGCACCUUUACAGAAAGUGACAUUGAAGCUCUCCUUCGGGACAACAAGGAAAAUGUGCGCAUUGCUCGACCUACACACUCAGGCUCACCUGUGCACUCAGGAGGGGAGUUGUGAAAACAGCAGCGUCAUUUUGUUUGCUACUGAUUGUAUGGUGGCUUGUUGUCAUGAUACAGUGUGUUUGAUUGUCCGUAUAAUAAAGACAUCAUUGAAAGAUUUUUUUCUGGG
rnacentral:lncRNA from 1 species